rnacentral:lncRNA from 12 species
AUGGCUGCUAAGACCACCUACGUCUCUCUUGGCUGUGGAGUCCGCAUUCAUUCAAGGCCUAUAAUGCUCUUGUUGUCAGGAGGAAUUAGUGAUAAUAAACCUUGUCAGAUAAGAGGUACCAUGUGCAGGCUCAGCCGAAAGCAGAAGCAAGAGGGACACUUGCCAUUAGAACCGAGACCUAACAGUUCAGCUCUAUGGAGCGGAAGUUUCAGAGAAGAGGGGGAAAGACAGCCGUGGACAGAGCUCUGGAAUGCUGUUUUUCCAGAUGAGGUCAUCAUACGAGAGGCUCUGGAUGAGACACUGGUGUACAGCACUUUUGCAUCAACUCGACCCUCUGAGAAUAUAGGUCCUUGAUGCAGCUCCUGGCACACACUGGGCACCUGGAACGCUAUUGGUCAAACGACACGUAUUAAUUGGAUGGAUGCAUAUUCAAGUUCAGUUGAGGUAGUAAUCAGUAACUGGACCUGCAUCUCCUGCUGUGUCUCCAGUCGCUCCAGAACCGGAGGCCCACCAGGACGGCAUCAGGGUAGACAUCAGCCCCCAGGUCAGGAGCGCUGGGCCGUGGGGCUCCAGGGCAUUCUCAGGGGCUCCGAUGGUGUCUGCCUCUCGACCUCGGCCUGGGUCUACCCCACCCCCACCCCCUUGGCAGGUGUAUCCGGUGGCGGAGGCCUGGGAAGGAGGAGCAUCAUCAUCGGGAAGCGGGGAGCAGGGGCCGCGCGCGGGAGGGUGCGGAGCCCCCGCAGGAAGCAGCCCUAAGGUCCUCGUCGCCAAAAGCGGGGCUCGGGGGCUCUCAAGUUGGUUUUUAACCUAAGGCCCUUCGGUGAACGCGUCGCGUGGUCGCCGGCGCGCCCCCGCGGGCCACCUUCAGAGCAGACCCCAAGCGCCCCCGAAGGACGCAGACGGCUCCCCGCCGCGUCCCGGCGCCCGGGUCGGUGC